ACAUUAUCCUAUCCCUGUUAUUCCCCGUGAAACAAAUGCUCUUGAUAUUUUGGUUACUACCACUUGCUACAUUAUUCUAGGAGGGUGAAUGCUCUGAAAAAAUACGAGGAAAUAAAAAGGGGCAAGUGCCCGAAACCUCGAAGAAAAGAAAAAGUGAGACGAGAGGUAAAAAUGGACAAGUGUCCGACAGUAGAAUUAGGGGUACAAGAUACCCACCUGAGACAAAUGAAAAAAAGAAGAAAAUAUAGAGCAUCUCAUUCCCUUCAAAAAGCUUCAAAGUGCAAGAAAGGUAUGUAUCCCCUCAAAAGAGCAAAAGUAGAAUUCGACUUUCACCAUUGUUUUCACCAUUAUCACCAUCAUCACCAUACACCAUUCAUCCACCACACAUGCACAUCUUGAUUUGACUUAUUGACUUGUUUCUCUGGAUCCAUGGUUUGACUAUGCAAUAAAUGUCUUGUAAGUAUGUAUUAGCUGUCCCCCACCUAUGAGCUCCAGAUAUCAAAACCUUGUUAGAGUAGGG
rnacentral:lncRNA from 1 species